rnacentral:lncRNA from 1 species
AUAUUCCAGAAACCCGAUGCUGGCUCCCUCAUUUUCCAUAGACCUCAUCUUCAGUCCCUAAAGAAGAAAACGGUGACAAGAAAUCGGAAGUCCAAUGCAGUCUGUACUCUUCAUGGAUGAACUUCUCAUGUUAAGUGCAAGUAUUUAUAUGGUACAUGUCUGACAAAGGAAGCCUUCCUACAAUCAUUACUGAUUGGACAGCUCCUAUAGACAGCAUCAGUUUAUAAGUGUUUCCUUUCUGAUACACGUUACAGAAUACUGUAAAGAAAUUAUGAAAAUUAUAUUGAACAAAUCAAGAAGUGGUUCAAGUUUUUGAAAACCUCAAUUUAAAGUUUACAUAUUUUCAAAGUUGAAUAAUUUUACACUGGGGUGGGAACUGAAGUAUAAAUAAACAUUUGCUUAAAGGUACUGAGUUGUGAUAAUUUUUCAUGGAAUAAGACUGUCAGGCAGUAGCAGUUAAAUUAAUAUAUACUGUACUUAAAAAAUUAAACACUUGAGAAAUAACCUUUUUAGCCACUGGAAAAUGGCAAAGUCUAAGACAUUUCAAUCAAGUUAAUUUGGGUAUUAGAGAAAUGCAUUUUCCCACCAGAAACUAUGUGAAGAAACAAAUUAAACAAAAUGGCCCUCCGGAUGCUGGGGUAGCCCUGGGCGAGGAGCGGCACCAUUGCUUGUCAAUUAGGUUAUUAUACACACACAUUCCCUCAUUUUAAAUCACGCCAAAGCUGAACGGUUGAUGGUAUAUCAAAAUGAAGCAUGACUUGCAAUUUAAAUGGUUUUUUUGUUUCUUUGUUUUAACUUUCUUUUUACUCCUGGACAAAGGGUCCUGCUGGGUUUCUCAGGUUGGGCUGUCUAAUUUCUUAGCUCCAAAGAGCCUCCUGCCUCAGUCCCCUGCACAACAGCUGAGACUACAGGCUUGAACCACUGUAGUAGGCUCAGAGUUUCUCUUUAACAAGCACUAACCUGGAGCAACUAGUCUAAUUCAGCUAUGUGUUCUAGGAUCUUUCCCUAGCUCACCCUGGCAUGCUAAAGUUCCUAGAACAAAAGUUCCUGAGCAGUCUUGGAAGUAGAAGAAGAGGCCAGGAGAACACUUUAACCAGCUCUGAAGUUACCUCAAAGACACCAGCAUGGAGACAGAUCAGUUUUUCUGGCCACACUAGCUGCAGGGCUCAGUCCCAGACUUCCCAAGGCAGGACAGUGGCAAUUUGGACAGGUUACUUAACUCCCUCACCCCACCCCAACUUCCGUUUCUUUUACUUGUCAAGGUCUAGCCUUGGACUGGGUCCCCAACAAAUAUGCAACAGACCCUGAGAGCUGCUCACUAGCCCCACUACACUGCAGAAGGCAGGGAAGGCAGGCAGGCUGUGUCCUUUUGCUUUUGUUUUCAACAACACCUUGAGACUAAGAAACAACAGAGGUAACUUUAGGAUUCCCUUAGGAGCUGAGUGUUUUUGUUAAAUUAUUUAUUUUAUUUAUAUGAGUACACUGUCACUGACACAUCAGAAAAGGGCAUCAAAUACCAUUACAGAUGGUUGAGAUGAUGUGGCUGCUGGGAAUUGAACUCAGGGCCUCUGGAAGAGCAGUCAGUGCUCUCAACCACUGAGCCCUCUCUCCAGCAUGGAGCUGAGUUUUUUAAGGGCUAGGUUAAAGCCCUUCAUCUAAAACCACCGAAUGUAGGCAGGCACAGGAGACCCCGGUGACUUCAGUUUGGGCACAUAAAAUUUUCUACUAAAGAGAAAAUUCCUCUGACACCAGAGGGGGCAACUUUUUAAAAUAAGCAAUGUUAUAUAGAUCAGUAAUAUUUGAUUAGAUACUUCCUUAUAGUUGACCAGGCUCCAACAAGAAAGAUGAGUAGCAAAUCAGAAACACCACCAAAUGGGAAGUAGAUCUAACAUCCUGUUGCCUCUUGGUACAUUCUAUUGCCUGUUCAAAAUGGAGUCUUAUAAAGUCAGAUUACCUUGAAAUUCUUUCAUUGAAAUGUUGGAAUUUAUAAUCAUGAGCCACCAAAUCUAACUUAGUAUCUUUUUCUCCUACAUGCUCAGUGGGCAAGAGCUUGUUGCUCUUGCAGAUGACCAGCACCCACAUGGUGGCUCACAACUGUCUGUAACUCCAAUUACUGGGGAUCUGACGCUCUCUUCUGGACUGCACAGGCACUGCAGUCAUAUAACAUACAUCCAUGCACUCAGGGCUGGGACUGCAGGCAAGUGCCAUGUGUCGCCUUGACCAGGACAUGGGAUGCUGGGGCUCAAAACCAAGAAUUCCUGCACAGGGGGCUGAAGGCUGAGGCGGAAGGACGGUGAGCUCUAGGCCAGCCUGGACUACACAGUGAAGCCCAGCUUAAAAAAGAAAAAAACGGCCAGUGUCUUGGAGAAAACUGAGUUUCCAGCAGCUGGUACUCAUGUCCUUGUGACUCAUACAGCUUGGGCUCAUGAGCUCUACUCAGCUGACCUGUCGUAAUCGUCUGGGUAUAAAUUGUCUGAUGUUCUGAAUACGGCCAUGGCACCAAGGAACCCUGCCUGAAAACUUCAGCUCAGACUUCAGACAACUGUGCUACAGCACGUACCAAUUUUACUGCACAUCUGACACAUUCUGUUCUUAUAGAAACAUAAUUGUUUAAUUAGAGAAAAUAAACGUUUUAAUAUUUUCCUACUAUCAUUCUUUAAUAUACAAGUACAAAUUAAUCUGUGUUUAAACUGUAUCAUGUUAGAACAUUUAUUUUUAAGUGAAUAUUUUCAAAUAAUAAAUAUUUUCAUUUUAAAAGGAAAAUUUUAAAAAUUAAAGGUGCUGAAUUGAACUG